rnacentral:rRNA from 1 species
CCUACGGGAUGCACCAGUGGGGAAUAUUGCACAAUGGGCGCAAGCCUGAUGCAGCCAUGCCGCGUGUGUGAAGAAGGCCCUCGGGUUGUAAAGCACUUUCAGCGAGGAGGAAGGUGGUGAACUUAAUACGUUCAUCAAUUGACGUUACUCGCAGAAGAAGCACCGGCUAACUCCGUGCCAGCAGCCGCGGUAAUACGGAGGGUGCAAGCGUUAAUCGGAAUUACUGGGCGCAAAGCGCACGCAGGCGGUUUGUUAAGUCAGAUGUGAAAUCCCCGGGCUCAACCUGGGAACUGCAUUUGAAACUGGCAAGCUAGAGUCUCGUAGAAGGGGGUAGAAUUCCAGGUGUAGCGGUGAAAUGCGUAGAGAUCUGGAGGAAUACCAGUGGCGAAGGCGGCCCCCUGGACAAAGACUGACGCUCAGAUGCGAAAGCGUGGGGAGCAAACAGGAUUAGAUACCCGGGUAGUC